ensembl:snRNA
GUGUUGUAUAACACCUUGACAAGAAUGGAAGAGGGGAGUACUAACCACUCUGCAUGCUGAUGACACUCAUACAGUCAAGGCAUUGCUACCUACUUUGUGGCAUCUAGCCAUUGUUUAUA